GUGCAGCAGGCGCGAAAACUUCACAAUGUGCGAAAGCACGAUGAGGGAAUCCCAAGUGCUUGCUCGUAAGAGUAAGCUGUUUCUCUGUCUAAAACGCAGAGAGAGUAAGGGCUGGGUAAGACGGGUGCCAGCCGCCGCGGUAAUACCUGCAGCUCGAGUGGUGGCCGCUAUUAUUGGGCCUAAAACGUCCGUAGCCGGUUUAUUAAAUGCCUGGGUAAAUCGGACCGCUUAACGGUUCGAAUUCCGGGUAGACUGAUAAACUUGAGACCGGGAGAAGCUAGAGGUACUCCUGGGGUAGAGGUGGAAAUUCUGUAAUCCUAGGGGGACCACCAGUGGCGAAGGCGUCUAGCUAGAACGGGUCUGACGGUGAGGGACGAAGCCCUGGGGCGCAAACGGGAUUAGAUACCCCCUGUAGU
rnacentral:rRNA from 1 species